rnacentral:lncRNA from 1 species
ACAUCACCGACCCACAGCAGCUUGAGGACAAUAAAAAAUCAAACAAGCAAAUUAAACGAUUUUUGGUCGUUGAUCAAGAUGUCUACAAAAUCUACGGUCCCAAGCUAACUAAAUAUUUAGAGGCCAACAAUGUCCUGUACAAAAUCUUAGCUCUACCCACCACUGAGGAGAACAAAUCCAUGAAAAUGGUCUUGAAGAUCCUAGAGGAGGUCGAUAACUUCUCCCUUGACCGCCGCACAGAGCCCAUCAUUGCCAUUGGUGGAGGGGUGUGCCUGGACAUAGUGGGACUGGCUGCCUCACUCUACAGAAGACGCACCCCUUACAUCAGGGUUCCAACCACACUGCUUUCCUACAUCGAUGCCAGCAUAGGAGCAAAGACUGGGGUUAACUUUGCAAAUUGCAAGAACAAGCUGGGUGCCUACAUUCCACCCGCCGCUAGCUUCCUUGACCUGUCCUUCAUACAAACUGUUCCACGGAGACACAUUUCCAACGGGCUAGCAGAGAUGUUGAAGAUGGCCUUGAUGAAACACAGAGGCCUCUUUGAGCUACUAGAGACACACGGCCGUAUGCUGUUGGACACUAAGUUCCAGGUGGACAACGGUGUAUACGGACGCAACUGCUUACAGGCUGCAUCACAAUCAACUCGUAUAGCCAUUGUAACCAUGCUGGAGGAGCUUGUCCCAAACCUUUGGGAGGAUGACCUAAACAGACUUGUGGACUUUGGCCACCUUAUCAGCCCAGCAUUAGAGAUGAAAGUUCUCCCAUCUCUGCUGCAUGGUGAGGCAGUAAACAUUGAUAUGUCGUACAUGGUUUAUGUGUCCAAAGAGAGUGGUCUAUUGACAGAGGGCGAAAAGCAAAGGAUCAUCAGCUGCAUGGUGGGCCUUGAGCUGCCUGUCUGGCAUGAGG